rnacentral:lncRNA from 1 species
AUGUCACCUCCCAGGACUUGUCCAGGCUCAGGUGAUGAUGCACCAUGCAGAAUCUGGAGCCGACCUCAGAGGCAGACGGAGUUGAGUGAAGUCCCGGGAAGCGCUGCCAAGGAGAGGCCUGCGAGUGAAGCCAGCAUGGGAGAGAUCUGUUAUAUAUCUAUGUGGUCAAAAGGGAAACCAUCCUUCUUUGUCUGAAGUGAAGCAGGAUCUGAAGCAUCUAUCUUGGACAUACCUUUUGCUCUCUGAGCCCAGAAAUGGUCUGACUCAAGAAAGGAAGCUGACUGUGAAAUUUCCUACACAGCCGUGUAGAAUAGGACUCUGCAGUCCAGACUAGGGUUACUCUUGUCAUAGCCAUUAGAACUUUUUAUUCAUGAUAAGUGGUUUUCAGCCUGGCACCUACAUUUUCCAUUGGCUUGAAAUCCUCAUAAGAACUGUGAAGUAAUGGGAAAUUGUGCACUUAAUAUUUGCCUCAUUAUUUAAGAAAGCACUAUGGAAAAGGUGCUUUGAGAGAGAAUUUUCUUGGAAGUUGGGCCUAUUUGUGUCUGGUGAGCUGUUUAAAAAAUAGCGCUAAAGUGAGAUCAAGACUUUAAAAACUAAUAAAAAAUACUACAUGAAGCA